CAGUAGCCGCGGUAAGACAGAGGGUGCAAACGUUGUUCGGAAUUACUGGGCGUAAAGCGAGUGUAGGCGGUUCUGUAAGUCGGAUGUGAAAGCCCCGGGCUCAACCCGGGAAGUGCACUCGAUACUGCAGAGCUAGAGUACUGGAGAGGUGGGUGGAAUUCUCGGUGUAGCAGUGAAAUGCGUAGAGAUCGGAAGGAACAUCUGUGGCGAAGGCGACUAUCUGGGCCAACACUGACACUGAGGCACGAAAGCGUGGGGAGCAAACAGGAUUAGAUACCCGCGUAGUCCCUGUCUCUUAUAA
rnacentral:rRNA from 1 species